rnacentral:misc_RNA from 1 species
UGGGCUCUGGGGAGGGUUGAUGUAUGCAGCCUUGCCCUUCCUUUGUAGAGAGGAUGUUUCCGUGGCUCAAACCAUGACCUCCAGGUCAUAUGCAGAGGAACUUUAUCAUUACACCAAAACCACCCUCUAGAAUGCUCAAACUAGCAGUUAAAAAAAUCAAUACAUCCAUAGGCAAAUUAUAAUGACUGAUUUUGUCAUUUAGAAUGUCUAUUCCAAUAAAAAACUAAAAAAUAAAAAAA